rnacentral:misc_RNA from 1 species
UUUUAAUAGCAAGAAGAGCUUUCAUGAUUGAAUACGGCUAAAAAUUCCAACACUACAAGUUCUUUAACAGUGUGAUCAUAAUUUCUCUACAAAAUUAUCAUCUUUAUUAUCCAUGGAUCAUAAUGAUUCCAAGCAUUCCAAAGAGAGACCGGCGGGCAAAGGCAUGGUGGGUAAAGCGAGUCGCGUCAGAACUUCGAUAGACUCAUUUCUUACAAAUUAUAUGGAAAGUCGGUCCAAAUAAUCAACUGAAAAAGAAAAAAGUCCUCCAUUGUUUAUACCAAAUAUUGUUAUCGUCUCCCUACAGGACUGAUGACAGCUGACAGCAACUGUGAUCUUCUAAACAAUUACCUGCAUCCAAUGAGAAACUCUACUCAAUAUGUGCUUCAGAGGACAGACAUCCCCCAGGCGUGAUUUUCUGGUGCAUGCCUUCAGUGAUCCCUCUCCACAUAACCAAGCCUGCUCAUCCUGUUACGGUCGUCUAAGUAGUCGUGAUUAUUAUAAUGAUGUGGCACAUAAUCAUUCCAAUGCUUGCCCUCAGGCAUCUUGUCUGGUGGGCUCCAUGACUUUCGCUUGCGUUUGCUUGAUUUGGGUGAAUGCAAGCCCUGGUCCAUGUCAUCGGGAACUUCACCUUCUUCCAUGUUCAAAUCUGAUUUAUGUGAUAAAUGCCCCUUCAUUCCUCGACUUUCUCCAUCCCCUGCAUCCUCUUGAUGUUUUUCAUGAUGUAGGUUUUCAUGCUCAUGCCUGUCCAAGGGCUUAGAAUAGCUCUGCCUCCUGUCCCGCUUACUCUUCUCACUCUCUGCAGCUAGUUCAAUACCAGCUUCCAGUUCCCUCUCAAUGAGAUCAUCCUCGUCCAAGAGGUCAGUUUUCCUUGUAACAUCACCCCUUGACUUCUUCCGUUUCUCCAGCGCUGCCUUUACUUUGUCUCUGUCAAUCUUUUUAAUAGCAUCUUGGGGUGAAUGGCCUACUGUACCUUCUCUGUUUUCCAAAUUUCGACCAAAAUGUUUGUCUUUUAAUUCCCCUGUUUCACUUAUUUCACUUCUUGCAGCAUUCCUUUCUUGAUCUUCUUUUCCAUGGGAUGCAUGUCUCCAUGUGUUUUGAGCUUCCCCCAUAUUCUCAUGGCGAGGCACCACUAUUCCUUGGUCUACAUAAUCUGAAGACUCGCCAUCAGCAUUAUGAUCUGAAGGAUUCUUCAUCUCUCCACUUGCAUGUUCAUUACCUUGAUUAUGGGUGGCUCUUGGUGCCCCACCACAAUUAUCUGCAAGUGAC